AACGAACGCUGGCGGCAGGCUUAACACAUGCAAGUCGAACGUGAAGCCAGAGCUUGCUCUGGUGGAAAGUGGCAGACGGGUGAGUAACGCGUGGGAACCUACCUAGUGGUACGGAAUAACUCAGGGAAACUUGUGCUAAUACCGUAUGAGCCCUUCGGGGGAAAGAUUUAUCGCCAUUGGAUGGGCCCGCGUUGGAUUAGCUAGUUGGUGAGGUAAUGGCUCACCAAGGCGACGAUCCAUAGCUGGUCUGAGAGGAUGAUCAGCCACACUGGGACUGAGACACGGCCCAGACUCCUACGGGAGGCAGCAGUGGGGAAUAUUGCACAAUGGGCGCAAGCCUGAUGCAGCCAUGCCGCGUGAGUGAUGAAGGCCUUAGGGUUGUAAAGCUCUUUCACCGGUGAAGAUAAUGACGGUAACCGGAAAAGAAGCCCCGGCUAACUUCGUG
rnacentral:rRNA from 1 species